CUCAGGAUGAACGCUGGCGGCGUGCCUAAUACAUGCAUGUCGAGCGAAUGGAUUAAGAGCUUGCUCUUAUGAAGUUAGCGGCGGACGGGUGAGUAACACGUGGGUAACCUGCCCAUAAGACUGGGAUAACUCCGGGAAACCGGGGCUAAUACCGGAUAACAUUUUGAACUGCAUGGUUCGAAAUUGAAAGGCGGCUUCGGCUGUCACUUAUGGAUGGACCCGCGUCGCAUUAGCUAGUUGGUGAGGUAACGGCUCACCAAGGCAACGAUGCGUAGCCGACCUGAGAGGGUGAUCGGCCACACUGGGACUGAGACACGGCCCAGACUCCUACGGGAGGCAGCAGUAGGGAAUCUUCCGCAAUGGACGAAAGUCUGACGGAGCAACGCCGCGUGAGUGAUGAAGGCUUUCGGGUCGUAAAACUCUGUUGUUAGGGAAGAACAAGUGCUAGUUGAAUAAGCUGGCACCUUGACGGUACCUAACCAGAAAGCCACGGCUAACUACGUGCCAGCAGCCGCGGUAAUACGUAGGUGGCAAGCGUUAUCCGGAAUUAUUGGGCGUAAAGCGCGCGCAGGUGGUUUCUUAAGUCUGAUGUGAAAGCCCACGGCUCAACCGUGGAGGGUCAUUGGAAACUGGGAGACUUGAGUGCAGAAGAGGAAAGUGGAAUUCCAUGUGUAGCGGUGAAAUGCGUAGAGAUAUGGAGGAACACCAGUGGCGAAGGCGACUUUCUGGUCUGUAACUGACACUGAGGCGCGAAAGCGUGGGGAGCAAACAG
rnacentral:rRNA from 2 species